UACGGGGGGGGCAAGCGUUGUUCGGAAUUACUGGGCGUAAAGGGCGCGUAGGCGGCCACCGCAAGUCAAUUGUGAAAUCUCCGGGCUUAACUCGGAAAGGUCAACUGAUACUGCGGGGCUAGAGUGCGGAAGGGGCAACUGGAAUUCUCGGUGUAGCGGUGAAAUGCGUAGAUAUCGAGAGGAACACCUGCGGCGAAGGCGGGUUGCUGGGCCGACACUGACGCUGAGGCGCGAAAGCUAGGGGAGCAAACGGG
rnacentral:rRNA from 1 species